AAGUCGUAACAAGGUUUCCGUAGGUGAACCUGCGGAAGGAUCAUUAUUGAAUAAAUCUGAUGUGGUUGCAGCUGGCUCUCUUGGGAGUAUGUGCUCGCCCGUCACCUUUAUCUUUCCACCUGUGCACUUAUUGUAGAUUUGGAUGUAACUGUCCGAGGCAACUCGGUUGGGAGGAAUGUCAUUCGUGGCUUUCCUUGUAUGUCCAAGUCUAUGUUUUCAUAUACUCCAAAGAAUGUAACAGAAUGUAUCACUAGGCCUUGUGCCUAUAAAACUAUAUACAACUUUCAGCAACGGAUCUCUUGGCUCUC
rnacentral:misc_RNA from 1 species